AUUAAUAUAAUUUGAUAAAAAAAGCUAGUUGAUCUAAUUAAAAUUGGAUUAAUUUAUCUGUUCCAUAGUUUUUUUUUUAGAAAAAGAUAGCGUGCUACAUGCUUCUUUUAUUUUAUUUAAAAAUAAAUUUAACUGAAAAUAUGAAUCAACUUGCAUUCGAAUUUGGAUUCUCGAAUAUCAACUAUCAAGUCAUUUAUCACUUGCGCUAAACACGGUCAGUGUUCCAUAGUUGAACAAUUGGUUCAAAUAGUUUAAAGCAAAAU
rnacentral:lncRNA from 1 species